UUCCUCUUCUUUCCACCA
rnacentral:miRNA from 1 species